rnacentral:rRNA from 1 species
AUUGAACGCUGGCGGCAUGCCUUACACAUGCAAGUCGAACGGCAGCACGGAGCUUGCUCUGGUGGCGAGUGGCGAACGGGUGAGUAAUAUAUCGGAACGUACCUUAUUGUGGGGGAUAACGCAGCGAAAGCUGUGCUAAUACCGCAUAAUCCCCUAGGGGGAAAGCGGGGGACCGUAAGGCCUCGCGCAAUUAGAGCGGCCGAUACCUGAUUAGCUAGUUGGUGAGGUAAAGGCUCACCAAGGCGACGAUCAGUAGCUGGUCUGAGAGGACGAUCAGCCACGCUGGGAAUGGGACACGGCCCAGACUGCGACGGGAGGCAGCAGUGGGGAAUUUUGGAAAAGGGGGGCAACCCUGAUCCAGCAAUGCCGGGUGAGUGAAGAAGGGCUUCGGGUUGUAAAGCUCUUUUGUCAGGGAAGAAACAGCAGCUCUAACGCAGUAUGCGAAUGACGGUACCCGAAGAAUAAGCACCGGCUAACUACGUGCCAGCCGCCGCCGUAA